UACGGAGGAUGCGAGCGUUAUCCGGAUUUAUUGGGUUUAAAGGGAGCGCAGACGGUAUGUUAAGUCAGCUGUGAAAGUUCGGGGCUCAACCUUGAAAUUGCAGUUGAAACUGGCGUACUUGAGUGCGGUUGAGGUAUGCGGAAUUCGUGGUGUAGCGGUGAAAUGCUUAGAUAUCACGAAGAACUCCGAUUGCGAAGGCAGCAUACUAAGCCGUAACUGACGUUCAUGCUCGAAAGUGUGGGUAUCAAACAGG
rnacentral:rRNA from 1 species